rfam:Daphnia pulex DAPPTscaffold_73_Cont3733, whole genome shotgun sequence.
GCAGUUGUGGCCAAGUGGUUAAGGCGAUAGACUUGAAAUCUAAUCCUCUCUGAGGGCGUAGGUUCAAACCCUACCAACUGCG